rnacentral:rRNA from 1 species
CCUACGGGAGGCUGCAGUGGGGAAUAUUGCACAAUGGGGGAAACCCUGAUGCAGCGACGCCGCGUGAGUGAAGAAGUAUUUCGGUACGUAAAGCUCUAUCAGCAGGGAAGAAAAUGACGGUAGCUGCCUAAGAAGCCCCGGCUAACUACGUGCCAGCAGCCGCGGUAAUACGUAGGGGGCAAGCGUUAUUCGGAUUUACUGGGUGUAAAGGGAGCGUAGACGGCAGCGCAGGUCUGAAGUGAAAGCCCAUGGCUUAACCAAAGAACUGCUUUGGAAACUGUGCAGCUAGAGUGCAGGAGAGGUAAGCGGAAUUCCUAGUGUAGCGGUGAAAUGCGUAGAUAUUAGGAGGAACACCAGUGGCGAAGGCGGCUUACUGGACUGUAACUGACGUUGAGGCUCGAAAGCGUGGGGAGCAAACAGGAUUAGAUACCCGAGUAGUC